GAUGAACGCUGGCGGCGUGCUUAACACAUGCAAGUCGAACGGAAAGGCCUCUGCUUGCAGGGGUACUCGAGUGGCGAACGGGUGAGUAACACGUGGGUGAUCUGCCCUGCACUUCGGGAUAAGCCUGGGAAACUGGGUCUAAUACCGGAUAGGACAAUGGUUUGGAUGCCGUUGUGGAAAGUUUUUCGGUGUGGGAUGAGCUCGCGGCCUAUCAGCUUGUUGGUGGGGUACUGGCCUACCAAGGCGUCGACGGGUAGCCGGCCUGAGAGGGUGUACGGCCACAUUGGGACUGAGAUACGGCACAGACUCCUACGGGAGGCAGCAGUGGGGAAUAUUGCACAAUGGGCGCAAGCCUGAUGCAGCGACGCCGCGUGGGGGAUGACGGCCUUCGGGUUGUAAACUCCUUUCGCUAGGGACGAAGCGCAAGUGACGGUACCUGGAGAAGAAGCACCGGCUAACUACGUG
rnacentral:rRNA from 1 species